UUAGGUUCCAAAUCUCAGGUCCAAUUGGUGGAGUCUGGGGGGGAUGUGAGAAGACCCGGAGAGUUCCUCCGUCUCUCCUGCCAAGCCUCUGGAUUCACCUUCAGCAGCUACUGGAUGGCUUGGGUGAGACAGGCUCCAGGGAAAGGACUGGAAUGGGUGGCAUGGAUACGUAAUGAUGGAGGAGAAAUCAACUAUUCUGACAAAGUCAAGGGACGCUUCACCAUCUCCAGGGACAAUGCCAAAAGCCAGCUGUAUCUGCAAAUGAACAACCUCAAAACUGAAGACACGGGAGUCUAUUACUGUGCGAGAGGCACAGUGAGAGGAAGUGAAUCUGAUGCUAAGCAAAAACCUUCUCCUCCUCUGAGCAGCUUUCCAAAAUAA